rnacentral:misc_RNA from 1 species
CAAACCCUCAAGCUCAGCUUGGUGAUGGGCAGUUAGUCUCCCCGCAGCUUAGUUGUUGUGGCGGACUUUGCCUUAAAUUUACGGAGGGGCAAGCAUACCUCCCCCGGCUCAAGACGCAGCAGAUUUGCGUCGCUUGUCCGGGCAGGGAUGGUCGCUUUCCCGUCAAGCUAAUAGAACUCAA